ACGCUCACUUUGGCAGCACAUUUACUAAAACUGGAAUGAUACAGAGAAGAUUAGUAUGGUCCCUGAGCAAGGAUGGAUGAGGAUUCAUGAAGCAUUCCAUAUUUUU